rnacentral:SRP_RNA from 1 species
GCCUGCGAGGUGGCGCGUGCCUGUAGUCCCAGCUACUCCGGAGGCUGAGGUGGGAGGAUCGCUUGAGCCGGGAGUUCCGGGCUGUAGUGCACUAUGCCGAUUGGGUGCCUGCACUAGGUUUGGCAUUAAUAUGGUGACCUUCUGGGAGCGGGGGACCACUAGGUUGCCUAAAAAGGGGUGAACCGGCCCAGGUCAGAAACGGAGCAGGUCAAAACUCCCGUGCUAAUCAGUAGUAGGCUCGCACCUGUGAAUAGCCACUGCACUCCAGCCUGAGCAACACACAGAGACUUAGUCUCU